CAGAGGAUCCCGCAAUCCUAAUCUUAACGUUGCUAUUACUUACGCAUGCAUAACAGUUAUGUAGGGAAGCCCUUGGCUCGAUAUUUUGAUGCAUUCCUGUAGACUUCCACUAAGAAUGAAUGAAAUGCAACGAACAAAUUAUGAUCACGCCUCACUUGAAACUCGUCCAAUCACAUCAAGUGUGUCGUGCUUUGGAUUGAAAGACAUUCCUGUUAUGGAUGCUAAGGAUUUUGUUUUGGGCUAAUGGAAUGCCAGUGAACAAUUUGAGUUUUGCAUUGGCGGAUUAAGGAGGUUAAUGAAAACAUGUCCCUUUCAGAACAUCAUAUUAAACCAAGAUGACAUUGACAGCACAAAUGUGAGUUCCUGGUGGAAUGGAGCCCAUCAUGGGUGACAGAGGAUGAUGUAAAUGUUAAAUACAUGGAAAUA